rnacentral:lncRNA from 10 species
ACCGGCUGGUGCCGAUCCCUGUGCCCUGCGGGCGCCUGGGCGCUGUGGCGGGGGCGCGGCGGAGACCUGCGGGGGCUGCUGGGCACCCCUCUCAGGCGUCUGCGCUGGGCCGGCUUGCAUGUCCACCCGAACGCUUCGCACUUCUUUGCCCUUGUCCUCGCAGCCUUAAAUCUGCGACCUUCCCUGGGGGCACAGUCUGGUCCUACUUGAUUGAUAGUUCUGUGUUUUGAGAGGUUUUAAAGCUCUUCAGCUCGGGACCUCGGCGCCCACACCACGCGCCCAGCUCCCUCACCCUCUGUCGGCAACGCGGCCACCACUGCUCACUGCCCCUCCUGCAUGGCCCCUGCCAACGCUAAUACCAGAGUUAGGCCGAUUGGAAAUGGAAGCUUUGUUUCACCUAAAUGUUUAUUUAGCAAAGAGUUCGUCCCCAACGUUAGUCGUAAUUGUGGAGUCGGUGUAAUUAGUUAUUAGCUUCUUUCUCUGCCUCUUCUCUGCCUUCCGCCGCGUGCCCAGAGCCCCAUUCGCAUUUCAUCGGAGAUGGACGUGCCACCUUCAGCUUCCACAGGGGAAGAGGCCCUGCCACAGUCAUUUAAAUGGAUUGUGUAGGGAUUCCUGACACAGCUAGCGAUUCAUUGAGGUGGCAAGAUAAACUGGCGGAAUGAGGCCUUUAUCAAAGGCCUUUAUCAAAGAGGAGUCUGCUAUCAAGUAAAUGCAAGGGCAUCUGCCACCAUCCACCCUGGGAGGCAAAAAGAAUAACCUUAGAUCUUAGGAUAAUCAUGAGAAGGGAUCCUUUGUCCCUAAAGGGAGAAAAAAAAAUGCCAAAAGAUUUUUUUUUUGUUUAAAUUUUUUUUUUUUUUUUGAGACGGAGUCUUGCUCUGUAGCCCAGGCUGGCGUGCAGUGGCGCCAUCUUGGCUCAUUGCAAGCUCCGCCUCCCGGGUUCACGCCAUUCUCUUGCCUCAGCCUCCCGAGUAGCUGGGACUACAGGCACCCGCCACCACGCCCGGCUAAAUUUUUGUAAUUUUUAGUAGAGACAGGGUUUCACCGUGUUAGCCAGGAUGGUCUCCAUCUCCUGACCUCGUGAUCCACCCGUCUCGGCCUCCCAAAGCCCUGGGAUUACAGGUGUGAGCCACUGUGCCUGGCCUAAAUUUUUUUUUUUGAGACAGAGUCUUGCUCUGUUGCCCAGGCUGGAGUACAGUGGCACAAUCUAGGCUCACUGCAAGCUCCACUUCCUAGGUUCAAGCGAUUCUCCUCCCUCAGCCUCCUGAGUAGCUGGGACAACAGGCAUGAGCCACCACGCCCGGCUAAUUUUUGUAUUUUUAGUAGCGACGGGGUUUCACCAUGUUGGCCAGACUGGUCUCGAACUCCUGACCUCAAAUGAUCGCCCGCCUCGGCCUCCCAAAGUGCUGGGGUUACAGGCGUGAGCCACUACACCCGGCCAGAUUUUUUUUUUCUUCACCACUAGGCUCAUUCUGUUGUGUCCAGGGAAAAGGUCAUGCUCGCCUUUGUGAGGUGUGCUUAAUAAUUCACAGCUUAGUAACAAAUUUGGGGAUCCUGAUCUGGAAUUGGAAGAUCCACGUCACCCUCCUUCAUGGACCUGGAGCUCCCCACUUCCACACCACCACCAGCGGGCACAUGCGGCAGAUGUUGACAUCUUGCUGGAGUUGCAACACUCAAGAAGAAACAAAAAGAAAAGACCUCCUCUGGCGUGGUCACCGGCCAGAUCACACAAAGUUCUACCUGAACUACUAGAGGCUCCCCCUUGUGUCUCCCAAGGGUCAGUUAAACUUCUUUUUUUUGAGACGGAGUCUCGCUCUGCUGCCCAGGCUGGAGUGCAGUGGCGCGAUCUUGGCUCACUGAAACCUCCGCCUCCUGGGUUCAAGAGAUUCUUCUGAUUCAACCUCCCGAGUAGCUGGGAUUACAGGCGUGUGCCACCAUGCCCAGCUAAUUUUUUUGUAUUUUUAGUAGAGACAGGGUUUCACCAUGUUGGUCAAGCUGGUCUCGAACUCUUGACCUUGUGAUCCCCCACCUCGGCCUCCUAAAGUGCUGGGAUUUACAGUCGUGAGCCACCGUGCCUGGCCGAACUUCUUUUUAGGAUAACUGGAUUACAACAGGAUCACUUGGAUCCAUACUCUGAACAUUUAACUCCAAGGUGUUUGGGCCAAAGAGGAAAAUAAAAAUACUCAAAUAUCAC